rnacentral:lncRNA from 1 species
UGGUAAUUUAUCAUAAUUUGUAUCUAUGUUUUAUGUGGUAUUCCGUCUUGGUUCUUGUUAACUGUCAUGGCCCUGUUUCAAGUCAUACAUGUACUUGUCAUGGAACAGUUUCAAAAGAGUGUGUCUUUUGUUUCUUCAUGUCUUUUACAAUCAUUAAUCAGUUAUUUCGUCCUUUCCAAAUUAGUUCAUAUGUUCAUGUUCUUUGACUUUAAUUUUUUCU